rnacentral:rRNA from 1 species
AACGAACGCUGGCGGCAGGCCUAACACAUGCAAGUCGAGCGAGGACUCCGGUUCUAGCGGCGGACGGGUGAGUAACGCGUGGGAAUGUGCCCUUCUCUACGGAAUAGCUCUGGGAAACUGGGAGUAAUACCGUAUACGCCCUUUUGGGGAAAGAUUUAUUGGGGAAGGAUCAGCCCGCGUUGGAUUAGGUAGUUGGUGGGGUAAUGGCCUACCAAGCCGACGAUCCAUAGCUGGUUUGAGAGGAUGAUCAGCCACACUGGGACUGAGACACGGCCCAGACUCCUACGGGAGGCAGCAGUGGGGAAUCUUAGACAAUGGGGGCAGCCCUGAUCGAGCCAUGCCGGGUGAGUGAUGAAGGCCUUAGGGUUGUAAAGCUCUUUCAGCUGGGAAGAUAAUGACGGUACCAGCAGAAGAAGCCCCGGCUAACUCCGUG